UAUUACUUAAAGCGUCAAUUUUAGUUAUUAGAUUAUUUUAUUGUCGUUGUUAUAAUUAUCUAAAAAAAUAAAAAUAAACUUUUAUCAUGAUCACUAUCAAAGAGUUAAUGGUGCUGAAAUAGCAUCAUGAUGUGCAUGACUUCAAAUCCCAGAGUUCUCUCGUUCACAGUCACGCGCGUGAACUCUGAAACAUGACCUGUGCAACCUGAGGCAACGAGGCAAAGGACUAAAAAUAAGUUUAUCGAGAUGAGAGGAGCAUUCAAACAGGGACCUGGAUGAAGAGGUGCUCUGGAAAGGACAACUGGAGAGACGCUGCUGGACGUCACCAGUGAGGACUCCAUCAGAGAUGUGUGAAUAGCUUGUCAGAUCGACGGUGCCAUUCAACAAACAUUGGUUAAUAUAACAGGCUGUAUCUGAUGGGCAAAAAAGUAAGAAAAAAAAUCUACACGUGAUUGAAAUGUGACAAACUUGAGAGAGAUGGUGCCCAUUGCAUCUGCAACCCCUUCACAUAACACAUAUACGUUUAAACCUUAAAACCUUAAUGCAGCGUUGAAGUAUGACCAUAUUUAUCAACUAAAUAUGCACGGUAAAAAAGUGAAAGGUGCUGUACUUAA